rnacentral:rRNA from 1 species
CCUACGGGAGGCAGCAGUGAGGAAUAUUGGUCAAUGGACGAGAGUCUGAACCAGCCAAGUAGCGUGAAGGAUGACUGCCCUAUGGGUUGUAAACUUCUUUUAUAUGGGAAUAAAAUGUUCCACGUGUGGGAUUUUGUAUGUACCAUAUGAAUAAGGAUCGGCUAACUCCGUGCCAGCAGCCGCGGUAAUACGGAGGAUCCGAGCGUUAUCCGGAUUUAUUGGGUUUAAAGGGGGCGUAGGUGGAUUGUUAAGUCAGUUGUGAAAGUUUGCGGCUCAACCGUAAAAUUGCAGUUGAAACUGGCAGUCUUGAGUACAGGAGAGGUGGGCGGAAUGCGUGGUGUAGCGGUGAAAUGCUUAGAUAUCACGAAGAACUCCGAUUGCGAAGGCAGUUCACUGGACUGCAACUGACACUGAGGCUCGAAAGUGUGGGUAUCAAACAGGAUUAGAUACCCGGGUAGUC